AUAAGGAGUCGGACCUGCCCGGUGAAGAAAUUUAAACGGCCGCGGUACUCUGACCGUGCAAAGGUAGCAUAAUCAUUUGCCCUAUAAUUGAGGGCUAGUAUGAAUGGUUUGACAAGAAUAAAGCUGUCUCUUUAUAAUUAUAUAGAAUUUUAUCUUCAGGUGAAGAAGCCUGAAUAAAAUUAAAAGACAAGAAGACCCUAUCGAGCUUAAAAUAAGUUAAUAAGUUAAGAAUAAUAUUUGUUUAAAAAAAUAUUUAUUAAAAAUUUUGGUUGGGGCGACUAAGGAACAUAUAAAGCUUCUUUUAUAGCAAAUUACUGAUAAGUGUUGAUCCAAAAAAUUUUGAUUGAAAAAAUUAGUUACCGUAGGGAUAACAGCAUUAUCUUUUUUAAGAGUUCAUAUCGAAAAAAAGGUUUGUGACCUCGAUGUUGGACCAGAAUGUCCUAAAGAUGCAGAAGUCUUUAAGGGUUGGUCUGUUCGACCAUUAAAAUUCUA
rnacentral:rRNA from 1 species